rnacentral:rRNA from 1 species
UACGUAGGAUCCGAGCAUUAUCCGGAGUGACUGGGUGUAAAGAGUUGCGUAGGUGGCAUAAUAAGUAGCUAGUGAAAUCUGGUGGCUCAACCAUUCAGACUAUUAGCUAAACUGUUAAGCUCGAGACCGUUAGGGGUAACUGGAAUUUCUAGUGUAGGGUUGAAAUCCGUAGAUAUUAGAAGGAACACCAAUAGCGUAGGCAGGUUACUGGGACGGUUCUGACACUAAGGCACGGAAAGCGUAGGGAGCAAACGGG